rnacentral:rRNA from 1 species
AGCGAACGCUGGCGGCAUGCUUAACACAUGCAAGUCGCACGGGCCGGCAACGGUCAGUGGCGGACGGGUGAGGAACACGUAGGAACGUGUCCUGAGGUGGGGAAUAACGCCGGGAAACUGGCGCUAAUACCGCAUAUGAGCUGAGGCUCAAAGCCGCGAGGCGCCUUGGGAGUGGCCUGCGUACGAUUAGCUUGUUGGUGGGGUAAUGGCCUACCAAGGCGACGAUCGUUAGCUGGUCUGAGAGGACGAUCAGCCACACUGGGCCUGAGACACGGCCCAGACUCCUACGGGAGGCAGCAGUGGGGAAUAUGGUACAAUGGGCUAAAGCCUGAUCCAGCAAUGCCGCGUGUGUGAAGCAGGUCUUCGGAUUGUAAAGCACUUUCGGCGGGGACGAUGAUGACGGUACCCGCAGAAGAAGCCCCGGCUAACUUCGUACCAGCAGCCGCGGUCAUAC